UGCCGUGUCAACUGUAGCCAGUGGCUGCGGCUCCCUCUGUCUGGCGUCAUCUAGGGCGCUGCUCAGGAGAUUGCGGAGGCCAGUUAGCCAGUUGGCUUACGUGUUUAUCGCGUAGGGCAAGACUUGCCAAAUUCCCAGCCAGCGGAGCGGCGAGGCUGGGGACUUACGGGAAGUUAAAGAGCUUCGUCGGCGGCCUCGCGGCUCCAAAACCAGGCUCUAGGCGGCGGCGACCGCAGCCGUUAGAGGCCACCGCGGCUACGACCGCAGGUGAGGCCGCCCCAGGCGGAGCGGAGGCCUGGAGGGGAAUCUUGAUCCUGGGCCAGACACCUGUCAAGAGGAGGCGGAGCGUCGUGCCUCCAGGAAGACUGGAUGAGUAUUCUCCAGGAGCCGGACAAAGGCUUAAUGAAGACAAAGACUUCCAGGGUCAUCAUGCUGUCCAUCUGCAUCAGGCUAUACAUACUUUUGAAAUCCCAGAGGUCUUCAGUCUCCCUGUGGGUCAAGGAGAUGUGCAGUAUUUAAAGUGGAUUGAGGACGGCAUGGAAGAGGAUUGAGUGGGGAAAGCUUUUUGUGCAUUCUGCUGGCUACCUCCAGCGGCUGCCUCCAGCCUUCAUCAACUGCACUCUGGGGAAGAGGAGGACACCUUCUACCUCCCAGCAUCUCUGGAUUCCAUGUUCCCGUCGGCACGGAGGAGCUAAAAAUGGCCUGUGGAGGCUGAAGGUCUGAGGCUCCUAAAGCUGGAAGAAAAGGCUGAGCCAGUCAGGCCAAGUAAGAACAUAGUGUAACUUGUCUCUGAGUGCUUCAUGGUUAACGGGGAUAAGGGGGCAUGAGGGCCCCAGGAUGGUUACAUGUAGUGACUGAAGGGAAGACGCAGUGAGGGUGAGACUUGUCAUCUUGAGUCAGUAGGCCUACCUCAAGUGCCUAGGAUGUAAUUGCUUUGCUGCUUCUCAUGGGGAGGAGUGGUCCUAGUGACCUUGUUCACCUGGAAGAGUGUGGGAUGAAUGUCUCCUCCUACGGGGACUGGCAAGUGCUUUAUCAAAAGGAUAAAUUGCUAAUGGUGGCAUUUCAUGGAUCAGCAGGAUUAUUUCUCCUUGCUAAAGAGGCUUUUGUUGGUCCUGAAUUCUGAGGAGGUGGGACUACGAAUGGACUCCAUGAACCUGUGUAUGACUCAGGGAAUAUUAGGACUUUGGCACAGCCUCAUGGGUUGGGAGUAAGUCUUGGCUCUUCCCUAGCCUGAAUGACAGGUAUCAGAUAAUUCUGGUGUUUUGUCAGUGAAGAUGUAGAUUCUGAGCGCACAAAACUAACCUUUUCACUUGAACACAGAAAUAGCCCCAGGAAUCGGACAGACCUGUGUCUUUAGGUUUGUUUCAUUGAGCUCCAGGGGUUGACAGUAGUACCUUGGGGACUGCCUGCCUGGGGAUUUUUUUAAAAGCGUUCUUUGUUAAAGGUUUGUAAACCACCCCUCUGAGCCAGUUUUCAUUUUAUACAUUACUGCAGGAAACUGAACUGCAUGGAGGUCCAGAAAGUGGGUAGUGCAGGGUGUAGUGCUGAUAACUACUGUACUUCUUGGAUCUUCGUGCUCCCAAAUACCAAAUGGAAGACAAUCUCUGAGAGUCCUUUGCAAAGAUCUUGUAGGGACUUUAGGCUGGGGCCUUUGGAAAGUUCCUGAGGAUUCCAAUGGAGAUUUUGAGGGAUUAUCUUAGAACAACAAAGAGAAUGGUAAUGGUGAUGUCCUUGCUUUUUACAACAGAUCAUGUUGUGCUAUAUAUGGAAACCUGUGUAAAGUAAACCCUAUCUAAAAUGCGCUGGGGACCCAAGGUGGACUGCCUGUAUUGCUUCCAGGAUAAACUCCAAUUUCUAGCUCUGGUUUUUAUAACCUUGCUUCAGCUCACCUUUUCCAUCAUUGUCCCCUGCAUCUCCUCUCCCACGCUGGGAAAUGGAUGGCUCCACUAUACUGUGUGAUGUUACUGCUAUGUUCAUGCCGUCCCCUCUGCCUGGAAUGCCCUUCUGCAUGAAUGCCUGUGAAAUGUUGCUGCUCCUUUGUAUGGCCUGGCUUCCAUGGUUGGCAGGAAUCUCUUCUUUUGUGGUAUUCCUGCCAUCUUUGUGCAUCACAGUCAGCUUCGUAUUCCUAGAUUGUAAGCUGCUUGAGGACAGGGGCAUGUCUUGCACCUGUUUGGCAAAUUGAUGUUUAAAGUAUUUAAAUAACUAAAGCUCUCUUUACAGUACAUAGUCACUUUUGAUUUAUGGAAUUGGCAAAAUUAAACUUUUUUCCUUGAAUAUUCUUAAAGUGAGACUAAUUCCAAAGGAGAUUUUUCUGUCUGUGGCCUUCAUUGGGUGGUUUGCUGUUACCAGAAAGCUCUUAGUGGCCUUCCUCUUCCCUGGUGUCAAGGUUGACUGUAAUAGGAAAUGGGAGGGGAAAGGGCCAUUUCUGCCAGGCAUUGUCAUAGGUUCUUAACAUUAUAUAAUCCUUAUAAUGCAAUGUUUUCCUCACUUUACAGAUGAAACCUGAGACCAGAGAACAUGUAACAUGUAAAGUACGUGGCAGAAUUAGGAUGUGAACCCAACUCUGAUUCUAAACCUAAUGCUCUUACUCUUUCAUUCAGAGGUUCAGUCAGUUCUUUGUAGGCCAUAGAUCCAGAGAAGCUGCUGUAGCCAACAAUAAAGUUGUUAGUUUUUAAAACAUCUAUAUGGUGUUGGUCUGGCACUUAAAAUGUAUUGUUUGCUGGGCACGGUGGCUCACACCUGUAAUCCCAGCAUUUUGGGAGGCCAAGAUGGGCGGAUCACGAGGUCAAAAGAUCGAGACCAUCCUGACCAACAUGGUGAAACCCCGUCUCUACUAAAAAUUAGCUGGGUGUGGUGGCACAUGCCUCUAGUCCCAGCUACUCGGGAGUCUGAGGCAGGCGAAUCACUUGAACCCAGGAGGCAGAGGUUGCAGUGAGCCGAGAUCUUGCUACUGCACUCCAGCCUGGCAACAGAGCGACACUUCGUCUAAAAAAAAAAAUAAAUGUGUUGUUUACUACUCACCACAGAUCUGCAGGAGUUCACUGAUCUCUAGGGUCUGCCUUAAUGCCAGCUUACGUGGUUUGGUCACUAUUACAAACCGUCAUCCCAGAAUGAUGAUGCAGAGGCUAGGGCUAGGACCCAGACCAGUGUUUCCACAUGGGAAUUCCCUCCCAGUAUUUCUUCGGAAAUGUAUGUUUUUUGAAUCCAUAAACCCUAGAAAAAUCAGUUGAGGAAAUGAGAAGUAUUGUAAUUAUUCUGUGAAUACUAACACUUACCAUUAUAGAGACAUUACUAGUUUGAAAGAAUCCAACUUCAUCAAAUACUAACAUACUGAAUUGAAGGCUGUAAGAACUGAGACAGGAGUAUAGUAUCAGAGAGAAACAGUCACCAUCUAAUUAGCCCUACUUUUGGUUGCUGUGAUGUCAUUAUGUCUGUAUGUCUGGCCAUAUCAGCUGCUAAUGGUGAGUUCUUGCAAAUAAAAUGAUUUGAUAAACAACCUAGCAUACUUUAUACAAAUCUUAUGGUGUUCUGAGAAAUAAACUGUGGAAGCAAAAUAA
ensembl:lncRNA